AAGCUAUUAGAAUUUUUGCUGUAGAAGAAGAUCCUACUAUAAACAGAGUAUGGAUGCCUAAAAGGGACUGCCCUGGACUGGCUAUGGCAAGAGCCUUUAGAAAUUUUUGCCUAAAAGACUAUGGUGUCGCCUCAGUCCCUAACGUGUCUUAAAGAAAACUUACCAAGGAGGAUAACUGUGUGGUUUUGGCUUCUAAUGGGGUAAGCAUUUUCAUAUCAGGAUGUCAACUUCGAAUUUUGGAUUUUGAUUCUUGAGUAAUGUUGGAGCAAAUAAAGCUCUUUACUCACACUCACACUAUGCACUCACUCACUCUAUGUUAGAGAAUAAGAGAAGAUGAAAGAAUUGAUUGAGAAAAUAGAGGAAACUUAGAAUUCUGAAUUAGAACUUCUGCACACUCUCAUUCUUUCUCAUUCAUGAUCACUAUUAUUUUUAUAUACAUUGCACAUGUAGCUAUAACAACCUUCAUAGCUAUCAAACUAACUAACUCCUAACUAACUGAAUUACAACAUACAUCAACAAGUAAUCAGUUAUAGGAAUAGAACAAUCAUUGUUAGUGUUUAAAUUAUGCUCAAUUCUCGUAUUCCUCUCAAUCCAAAUAUGUUUGCAAAUAUUUGAUCAAAUAGUGUAAGAAAAGAAAUAACCAAGAAGGUUAAAUGAAUUAACAGCAUGUAGUUUCCACACAUACGUGUUUAGUUCAUAUUGAACAAAAAUUAGAUGCAGUUUGUUUUAUAAAUGCUUUCGUUGUUGUCUUUCAAUUAGAAUUGGAGUUUCACCUAAUAAUCCGUGUAAUAAAGGUUUCAAUUAAAAGUCAACAUAGACUACUACCGUGAAAUCCAAUUUUGAUUGAAGAACAAUGUUAAAAGCACCUGUAAAACUGUAUCUAAGUUUUGUCCAAGCAUAUUUGGCACAAAUAAUAGCUUACUUUUAUCAAUUUCCUAAGAGAGCUUUUAAUCAAUAAACAACAACCAAUUAACUUCUCAAAAUUUAUCCCAACCAAAAAGGUCUAAAUUUUCUUUCUUACAGAUUUGGGAUUGUGCUAACAAACCGUGAAGUAAUAAACAUAGUUGCUUCAGCACCAAAAAGGUCCGUGGCAGCCAAAUUGUUAGUAAACCAUGUUGUUCGGGCUUGGAAAUAUAAGUAUGGUUUCAAGGUUGAUGAUUGUUCAUCCAUAUGCUUGUUCUUGAAGAUUAGCCUGCUAUAACCCAAUCCUGAUCCAAAGUUAGUGGGAACAAUAGACAUCCCUUGAAGCACCUGCAUUUUUCAUAAUCUAGACAUGUAAAUACUGAAAUUGUAGAUAUGGCAAUAGUAUGGUGGAAUCAAAAGGAAGAAUGGGAUGCUCUUGGAGGGUUCUCCAGAGCCAACUUUGAAUUAUAAAUUGCAAUCACCUCAGUACCUCAAGGAGGGUUGAAGCUGAUCACUAACUCAGCCAGAAACUCCCCGAAUCCAAGGGCUAGUGCUACUAACAAGUUAACAAUUGUAGGACCUGAAGAUUUUGCUUUUGACACAAUCCCAGAAUAUAGCAAUUAUUUUAGCCUUCUAAUUCUGCCAUGAUCACUGAUAACUGCUAAAUAUGAGUUAUUUUGAUGAUAAAAAUAUAUUGAAAAUAUCUUUAAAAAUAUUUAUUUAGCAGUUAUCUUUGACUUAAAUAUUAAGAUUUGAUAUUUUUCUUAUUUAUGACUUGUAGAUAUGAAAAUGAGAUAUUAAAAGAUAUCAAAAAGGAAAAUUUUUAGCAUCAGGCUCAAGUCCACUACAACAACUAAAGGGAGUCAAGCCAAGAAGAAAAAUAAUACAAUGGAACCCCUCUCCUCUCCUAGGAUUUACUUUCUUUCACCCCUCUUAUCUCAAUGCAAAUGUGUUUUCUAUUCUAUUAUUUUUCUGCUUUUAUCUUGCAUUAUUCAUCUUUAUAUUCUGUUAGAGGCUUCAUGCAUUUUAUUUGUUGAGUCUUUGCAAAGGAAGGUAGAAGAUAGAUAAAUAAAAUAGGUUUGUCAUCAUGAGGGAUCAGGGGCAAGUAAUUGAAUAGAUGUGGGUAGAACAGAGUCACCUAAAUUGAUAAAGAAAAAUCAUAAACUCAUGCAUCUUAGACAAACAAGGCAGGACUCAAUCUUAUCAAAUUUUGAUUUUAUUUUAUUUUUAUCUUUUACUUUUCUUAUCUUAUCUUUUAUCUUCUAUUUUCUUUUAUCUUUAUCAUAUCUUAAUUUAAAUAUUUUAUUUUCUCUAUCUUCUAUUUUUAUCUUUAAAUCUUUUAUCCUUUCUUUUAAAUCUUUAUCUUAUCUCCUAUAUUUUUUUAUCUUUAUUUUAAAUUAUUUAUCCUUUGCUUUUAAAUUAGGUUUGCAUUAAUCUAAGUACAAACAAAGUCCUUGUGGAUUCGACACUCGAACUUUUAAGUAUUUUAUUUUUUGUGACAAUUUGGUAUACUUGCGAACGAGUUAACAAUUACAUGCAAGACUUCUUUUCUAUCUGUCUAAGACCAACAUUGAUCAAUUUUAGCACUCUAUAUUAUGGUACCAUAAAACUUUUCUUUUGUCUGGCUUGGUUCUAAAGAGUUCAAUGAAGAACUAAGCAGCACCUACUUUUCUAUCUAUCUUCAAUUAUUUCCUAUAGUGUGUUGUGUUGACACUAACAUUCAGCAUAAAACAUUACUAGACACUAGAACCAGAGGAUUUUGGAAUUUUACAUACCAAAAAUAUAGUAUUAAUAGAUUGCUGAUAAUUCAGAGGGGUUAUACUAUUGCUGAGCAUUUUGAAGCUUAAGAAUGAAUCUACAAUUGUAAAAAGUGAUCAAUUAACAACCCAGCCUAAGGUUUUUUUUUUUUUUUUUUAAGCCGAAGGAAAUGAAACUUUAUCAACAACUUCCAGAACUUCUGGAAAGAGAUUACAACACCAAAAAAAUGCUAUUUGACCGAAAAGCCUGCCUUAGAAUUAUAAAAAGCAACACCAAAGUUGAAAAAAAAAGUUAUAAUAUAUUGUCCAUUCAUAAUAAAUAUCUAAAUUUUGUAUUUGUUUUUUAUGAAAAAAUUACAUGAAAUUCGUAAUAAAAAAAUAUCAUUUGUUAUUAGCCUUUUCAAAUGGAAAAAACAAUUUAGAUAUUAAUACUUAAACAUAAAAUAUCAUUUGUUAUUAGCCUUUUGGUUAGGUAUCACGUUGGGCCUUAGGCUUUUUAUUGGUCAAGUGAUCAAGGGAAUUACUUCCUACAUUCCAUUUUUUUUCUUGCACCUCACAAAAAUCUAAGCAGGCAAAACUACCCCUCAAACACCACCACCACCACCACCGUAGCCCCACCUCCACCCAACCACCAGCACGCAAACAGCACCACCCAACACCACCAUUGAUGAUUUUGGUGAAAGGAACAAAGUGAAAAUGGAAUCGAAAACCAACGAAGAGGUGUAAAGUGCAACCCCAUUCUAGAUACAUGAAUUUGUAAGACGCUAAUUUUGUAUACACUUCCAGAAUAAUAUUUUUCAUAUUCCAAAAUUUGUAUUUUAGAAUACGUUUCUUGAUUACUUAUUCGUAUUUUGGAAUAUGAAAAUCCUAUUCCAUAAUAGGUAUUUCGCAAUAGGAAUAAGUAAUCCAAAAAGGUAUUCCAAAAUGCUUAUUAUGAAAUAUGAAAAAUCAUAUUUUGGAAUAGGCAUUCCGAAAGUGUAAAAGGCCAAAUUUCUCUUUUUCGCACAAAUGGAAAAUCUCACACCCCAUUCGCAUAUGCCCUACUUUAUCCCUUCAUUUCUCACCACCAAUUCUACAGAUACCUUCUUCUCCUUCUCCUCAUUUCUCAUUCAUUUGUGCAUUGAGAUCCAAGAUAUAGACCAAGGAGCACUGCCAGCUACAAAUCCCAUGAGGGCACAAUGGUGUUCGGAGUGUGAUUGUGUUGAGGCACAAUGGUUAUGGAGGCUUCAUGGCUAGGAUUUUUUGGGAGAGGCAAGGACAGAAGAUGUCUGGUAAGGGGUAUUCUUGUUUUUUGGAUGGUGUAGGAAGAAAAAAAGUGGUGCAAGAAGUGAUUACCACUAAUCAACUAUUAACUUGUGAAAAACCUUUGUACAUGUUUCUGUUGCGUUUAGCAAUUGGUAGCAAUGACUAAUUUGAAGUUAUUUAAAAAUAUUAGAGACUAAAAUAAAAUUUCUAAAACAAACAAUCAAACUAAACCAAAACUAAAACAUAAAAAGGAUAAAAUAUGUAAUUUAGCAACAAGAAAAAUUCACUUGACUACAAAAUCAUUUUUUAUCACACUCAUCCAAACAUGUACAGAUGUACUUAAUUUUUCAAGGAUUCAUAUCCAUUUACAACAGUACAAAACAGUACAUGAUCCAUUGUAAAGGCCCAGCAGCUAGUAAAUUUUAAUUUUCAGUGGUAAGCAAAAAAUUCAACCAAAAAUCGUUCAGAACAAUGCGUUGCCAUUAAGUCUUCUAUUAUGGCGAAANNNNNNNNNNNNNNNNNNNNNNNNNNNNNNNNNNNNNNNNNNNNNNNNNNNNNNNNNNNNNNNNNNNNNNNNNNNNNNNNNNNNNNNNNNNNNNNNNNNNGUACUUGUUAGCAGAUACAAUGAAUGGCAAUUUUUCAUAUAACGAGCUCCUUUUCACAUAUGUCAAUGCUUCCAAUAGUGGUUUGAAUUAAAGGUGUGCUGUACAAUUGUCAUUUGUCACAGCAAACUACUACAAUCAAUGCACAACCUAUGAUGAGAGGACAUUGUGUACUACUCCAAUUGCAAAACAACAAAUACUCCAUUCCAAUGUAUAUGGUACGCAAUUUGAUAUAUUGUGGUACGUGGAAGAUACUACUUAUGAUCAGAGGAUCUAUCGCCAUGACUCAUAUAUUAUGUUUCUUGUCACGGUUGAUGUUGAGUUAAAUGGACCAAGUGGGAGAAUGUUGGAAGCCCACGUUCCACGUUCCAAUUUUUAUUCCCAUUACAUUAUUUUAGAAAAUUUUGUUAUUUCUGAAUCUGGUCCAUUUUCCAUCUACAUUCAACCCAUAUCUUUGCAACAUAUUUGCAACCACCUUCAGUAACAAAUCAUGUACCCAUUCUUUAUCUCACGAACUGAUAACUUCUAUCUCACGUUCUGAUAACAAGUUGAGCUAUACGAUGGACAGACUCUAUAAAUAAGAUGGGGUGCUCUCAGUUUUGUAUCACGAAACUCACUUGUCUAUUCAGAAAAAAUACAUCAUCUAUUCAGAGCGAGUAACUGUCUAGAAGAACAAAACUUCCUUUCAGGUUCGUGUGUGCGCCGCUUCGCGUUCGAUUUGCAAUGACUGGAGGUACGCUCGUAAUAUUUAAUUUCCGCUGUUUGAUCUGAAUAUGCCACUUAAAUUGAUUUGCAUGUUUAGAUCAGUAUAAGUAUAUUUUAAAUAUCCUUGUACUCUUAGUGUUACGUGUUGGUAAGACUAUGAUGGCGACUGGUGUGACGUUGCCGAGUGGAUCUUACUCCCUUUGUUGCAGCUAUCACGGGGGACCAUGGCGAUUGCCACUAUAUCCCUUUGGAUUCCCUCUAAGUUCUUCUCUUCGAAGUUGAUUUCAUUGUCUUUAUGAUGGUUGUUAUCAACGAACAAUGAUAAUGGUUUCUUAGAGGCAUGAAAAGGAUGUUGUUGACGAGUUUCAUCUUUGUUUGAUGUUGGCAAGGGUGUUGGUGUCUGUGGGUAUGUGAUGUCGUUAAGAUUUUCUUAUUGUGACACCUUCUACCCCGACAUAUAUAUAAAUAAAUAAAAUAUAUAAAAAUAUCGAUAAACAAAUUCACGUGGGUGAAAGGUUUACAUUCACUUCACUAUUAUCAAUUAAAACUUAUUAAAAACGUAUUCGGCUCAAAAUAAGGCCGUCAAAAUUUACAAAAAUAUUUUGUUAAAUCAGUGAGGUAAAAUAAAAUAGACUAACAUCAUACAAUUAAUAUAAAAACUUAUGUCUCAAUGUCACAUCCUAUCAGAGUAUUGUGUCCCGACGUCCUUCAGCAAACGAUUCCUUAAAGUAAUUCACCUAGUCAUCUGCUCCCCGAACACAAAGUUCUAGAUCAUCACAAGAUCCAAGCACAAAUAACACAUCGGGAGUGAGUUAUCACAUUCCUAACUAAUAGAGAAGCAAGACAACUAGAUAUACAUAUCAUAUAAACAAAAUAAAACUUACUUAAACAUAACUCACGUAAUUCAACCACUUUUCAUUCAAAAUUCCCUUUUCAAUCAUCAAUCAAAUCACACAAAAAUCACACACUCCGAUCAAGACAUAAUAACACAUAAAUUUCAUAAUAAACAAUUAGCAAACGUAUGCAACAAUUAUGCUAAGACUCAAGCCUAUAUGCAAUGUGGUACCAUGUCAAUGAAAAAUCACCCUGGGGCACUUAGGAGUACAUAACAAGACAAACCACACACUAGCAAGUCAGGUCACUCUCACUAGAUAAGAUCAUAGGGAGACCAAUCAGGGUCACAGUAUUUUGCGAGAAUGCUCCAACCAUAUGGGAUCAACAUAGGCUUAAAGGAGCACUCAAACCGGGUGACCUCCAAGGCCUACACUCCAAAGAGUCCGUCAAGGUCUCUCCCUCCUGAUUCAGGUCCAUCUCAGAAAAUAUUUUAGCACACAGAUUCUAUCUAUGAACUAUACAAAACACACGAAUUCUCAAUUGUUCUCAAAAUAGUUUUAACUCGUUGCCCUUUAAGAGUCUUAGCAUUAACUCGUCUCCCUUAAAAAGUUUUAGCAUUAACUCGUCGCCCUUAAAGGGUUUUAGCAUUAACUCAUCGCUCUAAAAGGGACUUAGCAUUAACUCGUGACCCUUAAAGGGACUUAUAGUCGUGUGAUUGUACUAUUCAUAGUUCAUAACUCAAUGCACACAACAUCUCAAUCACGUGCACACACACACACACACACACACACACACAACAUGUUGAUUAUCCUCGUGGAAAAAUAUAGGAUAAGAUAAUAAUUCAUAUAAAAUAAGUCAUUAAAAAUAAUACUAUUUAGAAUAUAAUUUACGUUAAUAAAAAAAGCUCAAUUUUUUUAGGUUCACACUCAACAAAAGAACACAUUAAUUUCACAACAAUUUCUCAUUGGGACAUCAACCAGUUCAUGAAACAUAUAUAAUUCACAGUUACAAUUAUAAGGAUAAAAUAAAAAUUGCAGAAACACCCUAAAACUCAUUCCAAUUGACACUCUAAGGAUCCCUACACAUGUUCUCACUAAUCCCCAAUUGUGAAUAACUCAUUCAGUACCUCUAAGCGGACUCACGUGUCUUCCGAAAGCAAUAGCGACAUCUCUAGCAAUUUCCUGAGAUUCCUCAAUUUUUUCCUCUGAUUACUCUGAUAGAAUUCCCAAACGUUAGAGAGAAAGACAGGGAUUGAAACCUCCAUUUUGUACCGUCUUCGUGCGAUGCAUCUUUCUCCAUCCAAAGAUAUUAUUUUGCAAAUCCAACUAUGAAGUCGUGCGGAAAUGAAUUUCGAACCACAUAUCAAAAUUGGACGACAAUCCAACGGUUAAUGAAUCCAGGAUCAUAGUUUUACCGAGACAGUUUUGGGCUUCUGCUGGAAAAUAAAAGGCUAAUAUGCGAAGGGUAUUUCUCUCAGUUUAAUCAUGAUUCCGAAAUUCCCAAUGGUGAGAGUGCUCAGAAUUAGGUUGUGAACCUGAUGCUUAAAUUUCACGACAAUCCAAUGAUGAAUGAGCCUGAGAUCAUCAUUUUUGUGAGACAUGUUUGGUGGUCUGUGGAAAAAGAGAGGAUUUUGGGAAGAAGAAAAGAAAAAAACAAAAUUGAGAGGCAGAGAGGAGGCAGAGAAGUCAGUUUGAAGACUGACCUAGCAUGUCGCUAUUUAUACCUAGGGUACUUACAACUUAUUAUUUACUCUAUUUAUUUAUUUAUUAUUUUAUAAAAACAAACUCUAUUUUAUUUCCUAUCAAAUCAACAAAUCAAAUAUAUUUUUUCUUCAAAUAAUUAUUUUAAUACAACUAUUUCUCUUUAUUUAUUUAAUUAAAAAAACCUCAUCAUUUUUUUUUCUAAAACUCUAUUUAUUUUAAAUGAAAAACUUUUUUAAUUUAAUUCACGAAAAAUGAAAUGUUACACCUAUAACAUUCUGACACAUCAAAAGAUGAUUCCGUUGAUGGUUAUUGGCGGGGCAACAACCACAAGGGGAAGAUGAGGAAGAGUAGAAGUAACACUUAUGGUGAUUUUUGAUAGUGCACGAUGGCUAAUGUAGAGAGAAAAUAGAGGAGUAAAUUGAAAAAAAAUAGGAAAAAAACAAAAUAAAAAAGAAAGAAGAAAAAAAUUGUCCAUUAAAUUAAAAAUCAAUGUUUCUAAUGGCUUGAAAUAAGUUUCAAAUAUUGAGAGAGAUGAAGUGAGGUCCCACUCCAACGAUCUUGAAGAAAUUACUCCAUAUAUGUUUGUAUAUAUAAGACUUAAUGAUUGUCUAGGAUGUUUGUUACAUGUGAAAAGUUGAUCAAAGUUUUAAAAAUAAUGUGAGACCCACAUGUUUUUCCUUUUUAUCUCAAAAAGAGAAUAAGAGGCAGGAAAAGAAAUAAUAAAAAGGAUGCAAUACACAAAAUUGUUGGUUGCUAAAAUUGUCCCUCAAGCCCCUCAUUAACCCUCGCUAGAACUUUCAAAUUAGGGUAUCAUGUCACAUAUAAUAAGUUAUUCAAAUGUCAUAGUUGAUUAUGCUUAAUUUGGAAUCAAGUUUGCUUUCUAGUGACUUUUACUCAAGGUAUAAUCAAUUAUAUAUGCAAUUUGUAUAACUGUUUAGGUGACUUUAAUUUGUAAAAAACUAUACAUUUUUAUCUAAUAUAUAUAAUUACAUAAACGUAUUUUUUUGGGGUAAAAUGAGCGUUUAUUUAAUCUCUUUUUCAGUUUUUUUCUUUUAUUAUUGACCUAAACACUUUAAUUUAAACAUUAAAUUUCUUUUACACUUUUUUCAUCUCAAUCAAAUAACUUUAUUUUUCACUCUUUUUUCAUUUUUUUUAAGAGAGUCUCUUCUCAUAUCAAAUAAAUUAUAGUUUAUUUUAAUCAUUUUAUUAAUAUUACCACGCAAAAAAUGUUUUUUGGAAAUGCAUCAAUACCCAAAGAUGUGGAUAAAAAAUGUUAAUAUAAUCAUUCAAUGAAAAUUUCUUUAUUAUCUUAAAAAUAUUUUUCUUUUGAAUAAUAAAUAUAAUUUUCACAAUUAGUUGAGUGUAGUUUGUUUUUCAGAGAUGGUAGAGUGGCCCAGAGAAACUGCAACUCUCAAUGGAUAUGAAUUCAACUUUGAACAAGAUCUAAACAGAACUUCUGAUUUAAUUGACGUGAAAGUGAUCCUUUCUCAAUAGCUGAAUUUUUAAUUGCAAAGCUUUUCAUUGGGCACCAGACUAUAAGAGGCCAACUACAUAGGAUAAUCUGAGAUAUUUCAGUAAGGCAUGCGUCCCAUGUAUAUAUUGGCAGAUAACUGAAAAUGUUGCAUAUCCUUUAAUUUCUAGCCAUUUCAAAUUCUUUGGCAAAACAUAUCUGAGGUUUUGUUUUUUCCAUUAUUAUUGUGUUGUAGGAAAUUGUAGUAUACUGCUCUCUACGAAGGUUAUCCAUUGAUGCAAGGAAUGAUAUAUGUUGAGGUUGGAUUUCCACUUGAAUCCCUGAAUUUUUUUCAAGUUGGGUACGUCAGUAUUUGAAAUGCUCAAAGUUGCCUAUACACUACUGAUAUGCACUUGACACCAGUUCUCUGAAUGGGAUAGAACUAGAAGAAAGGAAUCAUACAUGCAAAGCUUUUGAUGCAAAAGAUCAGAGUGGAGGUUUGGGUCUCAUCAGUGUGGAAGGGUUCCAUAAUCUCGAAGAAAACAUCAAACUUCCAUAAGAAAAGCUUGAGCACCUUUUUGGUACAGGCUUCGUAUGGCAAGUCAUUUUGAAUCCAAACAAAAACUCGGGAAGUUUGAGGGAUGAAUGAUGGCUGAUGAUGGGUAAGGUUUUUGAUCAUUGGCAUUUUAAUGGAACUACUAAAUCAAAGAUAUAUAUGGAAGUCAUAUAAAUUUCAGAGGUGAAACUCCACUACAAUAGCCCAAGUUUAGUUUAUUCAUGACCAUGAUUCUUUUUUCAUAUUAUUCAAAUGUCAUAAUCUUAAAAUUAUAUUUUUUUUCGUGGAUUGUCAGCAUGCACAACUUCUAAACAGCUGGACAUUCCAACAUUGUACAAUUUUUUGGUUUCAAAAGAGUAAGCAUUAAGAAAUGUUUUGAUUUAUGAUUUGGCAAACAUCCAUAGCUUACCACUUUUUCUUAAAACUGUUUAAAAUUAACUACAUUAUUUUGUUUGUUUGCAGGAUGCUGACUGAAUCUCAUACAUAUAGAAUGUGUCCAUCUUGCUUCGAUUGAGAAACAUAAUAAUGUAGGACUUCACCUCACUUAUAUGAUACUCAACCUUUUUACUUCUACCAGAUGUGAGACUUCACCAAAAUGUAGUUCACAAAAUUUUAUAUCAAAAACUUCUGUUACUAUUUUUUUGUGUUGGAUUAUUUGCGUCACCCAAAUGUAGUUCAGUGUUUCAAUCACAUGCUAGAGGUGCUUCACAAUAUAUAUGUGCUUUGAAGCAAAAUAGCAUCAGUAGAUGCAUUGCUAUACAAAUAGUAUUUUGUGUAUAAAGCUGAUCUUGCAGGACUAAGGGUGGAGGAAGUCAUGGCAAGUUCUGAAGAUAGAAGAGUGCUUUGGAUAAGGGAAGAGAAUAGGAUUGAUACAUGCCUUAAGCCAUUGGUAGUUUUGUAGCAGAAAAAUAUAAUAAGCAAGGAAGAAGAGAAACAAUACAAGGUGGAGGAAAUAUAAUAAUUUUUGCUUAAUCAAAUUAUUCUGAGCAGCAAUACAAUAUAAAGGAAAACAAAAAUUAAUCAUUUAUUAAUUUCAGGAAAACUGAAAAUUUUAAGUGACUUGCUCCUAAAUUUUAGUAAUAGCUUUAAUCCAUAACAAAAACAAAUAAAAACAAAAUAUGUAGUUACAAAAAUAAUUUAAAGAAAUUUAACACUCCUCCUUGCUUUAGGAAAUGCAAACUCCAAUACUUUUCCUGAAGAGUUCAAAUUUGUUGAUAGGCAAUAGUUUUGUAAACAUGUCAGUCAAUUGAUCUUCAGACUUAUAGUAAAUUAAGUUCAUUUUUCCACUUUGCUGCAUCUCUAUCAAAAAAUAGAAUUUGAUGUUGAAAUGUUUAGUCUUCCCAUGACACACUGGAUUGCUUGUAAUAGUAAUGGCUGCUUGCACUACUAGAAUUAUGGCAUUCUACAUCGCGCGAUCUACAACGGUUCUGGAGAACCGUUUUAGUAAAAGGCGCGGUGGCAAUUUUGCAAUUAUAGAGAAAAAAAUAAUUUUUCACGUCGUACAUUUUAAGGCGGUUAUAAAUAACCGUCUUAGAAUGUAUGGUAGUGACAAACUUGUAAUUACGUACAACGAAGUCAACGACGGGUUUUGACCUAGGACCGUCGUAGUAUUACGAAUAUAAAAACUAACCUAAACCCGCGGCGCCGCUACUCAGUCAUUCUCGCAGACCAUUCACGUUUCUUCCUCAGUCAUUGUCGAUCUCCGUCAAACUUUUUACCUUGCCCCUUGAAGCUCACCCACAUGGUGUACCUCAAACCCUGAACCUCACCCACAUUGUGUACCUCAAACCUAGCCUGCUGUCUCAAAAAUAUCAGGUUAUACGCCAACUGUAAAGGACAGGGUUAUAACUUCUAAGUGGAUCAAAUUUCUUGUGAAUAGUCAACAUCGUGCAGUCCAUGUCCCAAUUGCCCUAGCNNNNNNNNNNNNNNNNNNNNNNNNNNNNNNNNNNNNNNNNNNNNNNNNNNNNNNNNNNNNNNNNNNNNNNNNNNNNNNNNNNNNNNNNNNNNNNNNNNNNCAACGACGAUUGUUAUUCUUCCCUCCCCUCGUCGCAUGCAACUUAUCUAUCAUAUUUCUCAAAUCUAAAAGGUACUCCAAUUAUUUGUCCUUUUUAUCAAUCAAUAGCAACUACUACAUGUUAUAUAGUUUAUUCUUAAUUUUCGGAGUAACGAUAAUAUUGUUGAUGUUUUAUAUUUUUCACAGGUUGAGUUUUUGUUACGAUGAAAGUGAUGAAGAAGGGGAAAAGACACUCACACAGUGGGGAAAAGAAGAAGAAUAAGAGGUACAGGGAACAAAACCUUGAUGUUGAGAUAAUUGUUGCCACGCAGAACAGUGAAGGUAAACUAUGUUGAUAUUAUGCUUUCAUAUUCAUCGCAUUUUGUUGAGUUGUCCCUGAAAUAAAGUGGUUGUUUUGUUUCAUUGGAUAGUGCCAAUGGAAUGCAGGUUAAAGAGGCAAAAAAGGAGAAAACUUCCAUCAACAAAAAGAGAAAGAGCAAGGACAAGAAUUUAGUUAGGAAAUGAAAACUGAAAGGCCAAGAGGUUGAUUUGGAUGAGCAAAGUGGUGAGUGAUGAUUAUUGGGUGUUGGCUUGUAGAACUGUUCAUUACUUUUCUAAUGCUAUAUUGUAUUAAUUUUGUUUUUGUUGUUAUUGUUUCUCCCUGUUCUGGCAUCUAGUAUACACCUCUUUUAUAAAAUUAAGUAAACUAAUGUUCAUUCUCAACAUCUUUGUUUUUUUAACCAAUGGUGUCAGAUGGAGUAAUGUACAAUCCUCAUUGUAAAGCUGAGGAGAUCCAAGGGUUAGAUGGGCACAGAGAUUCUGAUACUGGAGCAGCUAUCAAACCAUGUAAUAAAAUACAUUUUCUGGUGGAUUUCACUCUUGCAUUUGGAAACUAUACAUUCGUUUUCACAUGAAAUUUGUCCUGCUUUUGUAGGUAGGUCAAAGAAAGACAAGAAGAAAAGAAAGGAGGUUCAAGAUUCACCAGAAAAGGAGGGAGAAGGGUGCAAUCAGGUGGAAGUUUAUAUUAUUUCCUCUGUUGAUGAUGACUGCUCAAAAGGAAUGAAAAGUAUGAAUUGUUUGUUUAACUGUAGUGCAUUGCUUUUUUGUUUGCUUUUAAAACUCCAAACAUUAUUCAUUUAAAACUUUUAUUUAAAUGUAUAGUUUCUAUUUUGUGAGUCUAUUUAAAUGUAUGAUUUUUAUGUUAACUUUCAUCUAUAGAUCUCGCGGCGCCGCUACUCAGCCAUUCUCGCAGACCUUGUGCACUAUGUUGCUUUUUUAGAGUUAAAACUUAGGAAAUCACAGCUAGGACAAUAAUAAGAAAAAAUAUAUAUACUGAUUACUUAAAUAUAUAUACCUUGUUUCAGCUUCAUGAUGGUGAAUGAAUACUGAUUACUUAAAUAAUUAUUUUUAAAUGUUUUUUACACCCCUCAUUCUGGGUUGAAGUAUUAGAUGUUUAUAUAUCACUUCAAGAAGGGUGUUAUCUCCUUUCCUUUUCAUAUUUUACUCCUUUUAUUUUAAUUCUUUUGUUUCUAGGUGUAUCAUGCAUUCAUGCUGUAGUCAAGAACUCAAAAUACAAUACUUGUUGAUGGGGUCAAGGUACACAGUGAUGAUACCAUUGUCAUUAAGGACGGAAGUCAAAUUAUCCCAAGUCCCGAUAGAGAAUGUCAGAUUCUUUUAAUAUUUAUGGCAGUGUAACAAUUCCUAUUAUUAGCAAGAUAUAUGGAAUAGAAAAUUGUAAAAGUGUGUUGUAUGUGUAUCAUUCAAUUGUUACAGUUCCAUAAAGUAGUAUUGCCAUUGUGCUACUGUCAAUCCAUUGAUUUGUUUCAAGCAAAGUUGUAUUGUUUAGUAGCAUGUUAUAUUGUUUUCUUUAAUAAGAUUUAAACUUGGUUUCACAAAAGUGGUAAUAUUAAUUGUUCAGCAUGUUAAAUUACUAAGUUAAUAGAGGGCUUCAGGAUGAAAAACAGGUGAUUGAUUGGUCAUCAUAUUGACUUGGACAGUAAUGUAGGCAUAAACUAUAACAUAUUUGUCCCUGUUUUAAUCCUUACCCAAAUAAUCUUCCUAGCAAGUGAGAAUUACUUGUCUCAAUAGUAUUAUGCUUUCAGAUAGUUAAAUUAUAAUUGGCAGUAUCAAAUUUCAACUUGUGGCAGAUUAACAUGAUUUUUGGGUCUUUUAAUUAUUAGUAAAGAUCUUUAUUUUAGUGUUGGACAAAACAAAAUCUGUAUGCUAAUUAUUUGGUUGUGAUUUGUUUGCAGGUUUGCAAUGCUUUUACUGAUAUGGAAAACCCUUCACCUUGUUAGCGUUUACCUGAUGGCUUCAAAAGGGUUCGGGUUCCUCAUUUAGUUAAUACCAAGGUAAGCUAAAAGAAGCCAUAGUUAUCUAUUUCUCAGUUUAUGUAGUGGUUAGUACUUAGUUAAUACUACUCGAGCUUAUAAUUAUUUUCAGUGAAGAGCGAAGAAGGCAUAGUUAUUCUUGAAGAAGCUCAGUGAGCUGCUCUUCUCUUUCUAUUUAGCAAUGCUAUAUCUAUCUUCCAUAAAAAAUUAUUAUUAUAUAUUGGACUUCAUCUUUUUAAACAAAAUUUAGUUUAAGUUUAUGGAUAAAAAAAUAUAAUUUAAAAAGGAAAGUUUAUUGACCAUAUUUAUAAGUAAUUUUUUUUAAUAUUUUGACGUGUAAGAUUUUAAUAUUUUUCAAAUAUUUUAUUUGGUGGAUUACGUAAUAAAGGAAAGUUUUUUAGUAUUUUAAAAUAUUUUAUUUGAUUGCAUACGUAAUACGUUUGCAUAGUGAGUAUAUACAUAAAUAGUAUACUGGAUUGAUGCUAAUAAUAAAUUAAAAGAGCAUGAUGAGUGCAUAGAACAAAGGGAGUUAGGAAAAAAAAGAAGUCAUUUUUUCCUAAUUAAUUGUUCCUUUCUACGUUUCAUAUGGGACAUCACUUAUAUAAAGUAAUUCGUAUUCUGUCAAAUUAAAGAAAGAAGCUGUAAAGGAAAACUUAAUUAUAGAGUAAAAGUAUAUAGGUGUGUGCCUAUCCCUUCUCUUUUCCAUUUUGGUGAAAUCAUUUUAUUCAUUUUAUUUGAACUGUACAACUGAUCCAGAUUGUUGUGUCAUGUGUGAUUUAUCAUUUAAAAUAGAAACUUGCUUAGAAGUAGGAGUCUUAGUGUAAGUGGUAGCUUAGUACUGGUAUGGAAUGACAGAUUUCACUUCCUUUUAUUAAUAAUCGUAUACAAGUACAUAUGAAGAUUUUAAGAAAAGACUUAAAUAGUUUUUUAGCCCCUAUAAUAUAUACAGGGUUAUUUUCUUUUUGUCCUCUUAAGAUUUUUUUUUCCGGUUUUUGUCCUCUUAAGUUUUUUAGCUACACUGGAUCUAGUUGCUUCUCUGGGCUAAGAUAGGACCAUAGGAUGAUUUGGCUAAUUCAUUAUGAAAUAUUGGUCAAUGCAACUUGGAAUAUGCUUUGCCCUUGGAGCUAGCAACCUGAAAAUCGCAAUUUGUGAUCACGAGAAAGAUGUGUGUUGUCCUUCUUGUUGAUUUUGAAAAGAAAAAAAAAAGAAUGUGGCAACUUAUGCAGAAUUAUAUGACGUGGUGCUUACCUAUGUUAAGUGGGCUCUCGUAAUAAUUUUUCAAAUUUAAGUAUAAAGUUUUGAAUAUUUCCUAAUGAUAAUUUUUAUCCUUGACUAGAAUUACAUAUCAAUCUCUUCUUGCAGCAAAUUGUCUUUUUGCAGACUGUUAUGGGGGAUACCAUUGGAGACCCUCUCAAAGAUACUUCAGGCCCUUCACUCAACAUCCUCAUCAAGCUCAUGGCAGUUGAGUCGCUUGUCUUCGCACCAUUUUUUGCCACUCAUGGUGGUCUGCUUUUCAAGAUCUUUUGAUUUGAGGGAAUGCAACCGUACUUGGUAGAGUUUAAAUUUAUUACAUUUUCGAUUGUUGGCAGAUUUUAAGCUGUGAUAAAAUGAGGUGAAUUUUAAAUUUAUUACAUUUAGCUAGAAGUUUAGAAUCCUGAAGGUAAGUGAUAAGCAUUAUAUUGAAUUGCAUUGUAUAUGUUCAUGUUUCUAUGAAGCUUGCUGGACCUGAAAGGGAGAGGCAACUAUCAGAUACAGAUGUCCAAUCAGCUGUGUGGGAGGUCUGUGGUGAUUCUGGAGCUUUACAAUUGCUUGUUGAUCUUCUUCAUGUGAAGUGAGUGUCAGGAAUUAGGUAACCACAACUGCUGAUAGGAUCAUGUUAAUUAUAAUCUGAAAUGUUAUUUGCCUUAUUCCUAAUCUGUAUACUUGUGAUUACAACUUCUUUUAUAUUCAAUGCACCUUAUACCAGUUAUGAAACCAAAUCAAGUUUAGAAUCUUUAGAUGCAGACCUUAGUUGCCUCAACAAGCUCGACUGGUAUGCCACCUGUUGUUUGAUAUCUUCACCUGUUGUUAUAUAUAUAUAUAUAUAUAUAUAUAUAUAUAUAUAUAUAUAUAUAUAUAUAUAUAUAGCUAGUAGCAGUGUUGCUGUUCUUAAUAUUCCCAGGUUGUGGCAGGAAUAAUGUUCUUAUUAAUAUUCUCAUGCAUGGAUCUGAUUCGGAUCUUCUUUCUUGAUCUGGUUAGUCAAACAAUUUAUAUGUACACUUGCUAAUCAUAAUUUUAUAAUGAGUUUUUUAUGCACCGAUUGUAAUCUUAAGGUAUGAUUAGGAAUAUUUUGUAUCUUUAUCUUUAUAAUAAUAAUAAAAGCAAAUAAGUUUGAGAGGGAAAACUUAUGCAAUUAAAUUGUUCAUUUUUAGAGAUUUUAUUCUUUAUUUGUUAAUUCAUAGAAUUAUAUUAAUAUAGUAAUUAAGGUAAUCAGAAUCAUCUUAUAAUUUGAAAUAAUUUAAUCAAUUGUAAUUAGUAACUUAGGUAUAUGUUUUAGUUAACGUUAUUAAGAUGGUUUUAAACUUUUUAUAUAAAUAUAGUAAUUAAGGUAAUUAAAAUAAGUAUAUUUUCUAAUUUGAAAUAAUUAAAGUCAUUAUUGGUAUAUGUUUUAAUUAAGGUAAUUCAGAUUAUUUUAAAUUUCUUAUUAUAAUAAAAUUAUAGGGACAUUUUAUGCACUUGAGCAAGAAAAUUUUAGAGAAACUUUUUUAUAUUUUUAAUUCAUAGAAUUAUAUAAAUAUAAUAAUUGAGAUAAUUUGAAUAAUUAUAUAUUCUGAUUUGAAAUAAUGAAAUUAAUUAUUAUCCACACAUAUAUAUGUUUUAAUUAAGAUAAUUUAGUUAUAAAAAAAUAUUAUUAUUUCUUUUUAAUUUCUUAAUUAAAUUAUUUUGUUUCUUAAUUAAAUUAAUUAUUAUCCACACACCUCUUAAUUAGUAUUUUAUUUCUUUUUAAAAAAUAUAACUUGCAUUUAAAAUUAAUCACCCCCAUAUAUGAUUUUGUCAAACUCGGGCCAUGUAUAGGCCCAAAACAUAAGCCGUAACUUGUUGGGAGGUUCAUUAUAAAAUGGGAAGAAAGUAGUAUUAGGGUUUUAUAUUACGCAUAGUGUGGUAGCCGCAGCUAAGCUUGUUUCCGUUGCCGCUUCACCCACCGUAGCAACCAUGGUGGAAUCAACUUAUGCUUGCCCUAAUUUGAUUUGUUUUGUGCAGAUCAUUCCCGAGAAGAAUCGUAAAGAGAUCUACAAAUACAUCUUCCAAGGUUCGUUAGUUAACGUUGUUGUCUCUUGUUGUGCUUUACGGUUUUGUUAAAAUUGUAAGGUGUGUUUGUUUGAUUCAGAGGGAGUUUGCUUUGCGAAGAAGGACUUCAAUGUGGCAAAGCACCCAGAGAUUGAUGUGCCGAAUCUGCAGUGACCGUGAGAGGAGAUUCAAAUCCAGAGAGUAGGCCCAUCUCGCUUUGACGGAGAGAGGAGAUUCAACAGUGACCGUGAUGGAUACCGUGGAGAUCCACGCAGACCUCAUUUUUCAGGUAAAUUUUAAAGACUCAUUUUUAUUUAAUGAAUACAGUAUUAUUUAAUUUUCCUUGUUUUUCUAUUGUAAUAGGAAAUAAAAAAGGCAGUGGAAAUGACUAUUUUUAUAUUUAUAAACAAUUCAAUGUUUGAAGUUGAAUGUUUAUUUUUGUAUUUAUAAAUAUUUGUUCUAUGUUUUCUGAGAGAAAAUUCCUUUCAUAAAAUUUGGACAAGUAAAAUUACACUCUUAAUUUUAGUUGUAUAAAUUGUCAGAUAUUUUCUAAUAAACGUAUUAUAUUAACUUAUGUACUAUAUUUUAUCUAUAAGAUUUUCGAUGAAUCAUAUGCGUAAUUUUUCUUCCUAACACCUUGUAUAAAGACUUAGAAGAAUAAAGAAUUUAAUUAUUUAUUCUUUAUAUUUACAUUUAUGUUCUUGAUAAUUUCAAUUUGACAUAUAUAUAAUAGUUGUUUGUUAGACAUCAUUAUCAUUUUUAAUUAUUUCCCAUAUUUUAUAUCAUAAAUCUGUCAAAAUUAGUGUCACAUGUCAAAUCCUUCAUAUUUAUUACCCGUCAAGCUACUUUUUAUCAAAAAAAAGUCCUAUAUAAAAAUGAAUUACAUUUUUUAUUGCCCCGUUCAAAUUCUUACAUUUUAUAUAUAACUCAAUAGUUUAUAACAAUGAUGAAGAGAUGAUUUUUUAAAAUUGAAGAUGGGCUAAAUACCCGAUAGAAUGAUUGAUUACAAACUAAAAGAAAUACUAGCCCAUUCUUCUAAGACGUGUGUUUUUUGGUCCACAUCACCGAAUGAUUACUAUACUAUACAUAGCAUUCAUGCCUCCUUUCAUUUAAUUUUAUGGCCCUCUCUUUCUUUUAUUGCCGAUAAUUGAAAAAGUUUACAUCAUUGUUUUAGAUAUUUGAAAAAAUUAAAAUAAAAAGUUGUAAGAAAAACUUGGGCCUCUCGUUCAGGAUAUUUUGUCACGCAUUUACAGAGCAACCCCUCACCCACUAUCAUUUGAUGAUGUGGUCGUUUCACCAACCCAAAGGGCAAUGAACCAAAACUUGUCUCUAAAUUCACUGCAGUAACAGGAAACUCUUAAUCACUACUAUGACUUUUUAAUUAAAUUUGUGGCAAAUUGGUUAGUGUCCUUGUUAUCCUUGUAAUGAAAUAAGGAGGGAUAUUGUGUAUAAUUUGAAGUAAUCUUAGGGAUGUUAAUGUAAUCUGCCAACUAAUAUCACAUUGACAAACAAUAAGUUUUAUUGUUGAAUUGCCCGUAUUUGGUAAUCAAAUUGUUAUUCAGAAAAAGACUUCAGACUUUUAGACUAUAGUCUUUAUGUAGAAGCUUCUUCCUUUGCUCUCUGGACAACAUUUUGGCCCUCUUAUCAUUUUCGAUCCUCAUACUUAAACUAGGUAUAUUAUUUGCUUCUACCAGUGCAAAAAUCAAAUCAUAUUGAAAAUUUUGGCUAGAGUUGGGCAUGAUGACUUCAAGUUGAGAGAAAAUGUGUUGUUAUUUUUAUCACUUUUUAUUAUUUUGAUAUUUCUCUAAUCUCUAGUUAGGAAAACCCAUAUUCUUUUUUAUCUAUGAAGUAGCAUUGUCCUAAUUUUGAUAAAGAAUUUGUAGAAGUUCUUGUGAUGGCCUACUUUGACAUGUCAAGUUUUCCUUAUAUGUAUAUGUUUUAACUCUGUUUGCAGGGUGGUCCUGGUGGAGGGCCUGAUUUUGGUCGUGGUUCCGAUGGUUAUGGUACACCAAUUAGUCCAAACAUUCCUUCUUAAAUAUAAUGUUAUGUGCUCUAGUUUUUGCAAUUUUGGCUGUCAUUGGAGUUAAUAGUAGUUGUUCCCUUCUCCCAAUAGUUGCUCGAUAUGUCAGACAAUUUACUUAUUCGAUUAUUUAUGCAAUAAAGAUUUUGAUCGAGUGUCUGUUAUAAUAUAUAGGUUGACAAUAUUGUUUCUGUUGGAUGAUUGGUGGUUUAUAAACUGAAAAUUGGUGGGAAAAGCCUUAAUUUUUAUUUCAAAAAGUAACUUAUGUCUAAUGGUUUAUAAAUUGUUGCGAAUAAGAUGGUAAAUUUAACACGUGACAAUAUUCCCAGGGCGAUUAUUUAAUAAUAAAAAAAAACCAAAAUCAAAAAUCCAAAAAAAAACAAAAGAAAAACUAUCUAAGACGGUUAUUUAAUAACUGUCUUAGAAUGAUCGAGAAACUAUGACGGUCAUAAGAAAAACCGUCGUAAAAAAUUAAGUUCAAAAAGGUUAUUUUAAGACGGUUAUUAAGAAGAGCUGACUUAGAAUCUCAAACAUACUAAGACGGUUAUUUAAUAACCGUCUUAGAUUUUUCAUGUUGUGGACUCCAUUUUAAGACGGGUGACAUGAAAACCGUCUUAGAAAGUAAUAGUCACUAAGACGGUUAGCUUUGAGGACCGCCUUUGUAAGAUGAACAUUCUAAGACGGUUAUUAAAUAACCGUCUUAGAAAACAUAAUAAUCUACGACGGUUCAUAAACCGAUGUAAAAAGUGUAGUACCAAUUUACGACGUUGCGUUCUAAGACGGUUCAAAACCGUCUUAGAAGGUCUUCUAGAACCGACUUAGAAAACACAAUUUGUAGUAGUGUUGGUUGUCAACAAAAAUUUCAGUUUUGUUUUUGUGUAUCAUAGACAUCUCCUCCUCCAUUCCAAUUUUCCAUUUUGGAUCUUUUAGUGCUUCCUCACAACUAAAAGGUUCAUAAAUUGCUAUAUUACAUCUUUGAUAGAUGUCGAACAGUGACCUUUUUCCUCUGAUUGGAAGGUCAUCUCUUAAUUCAUUAUGCAUAAGCUCUGUUGUUUGCUCUCUGGGAUGAUUGUUUCCACUGUUGAGGAAAAACCCACCUGUUUGUGAGUUGUUCCAAUCCCAUUUCUUACCUUCAUUGAAGUGCACGUCUCUUGUGACUGUCAUCUUUUUAGUUUGAGGAUGAUAGACUUUGUAGGCUUUUGAAAUUGAACUGUAGCCCAAAAAGAUGCCCAAAAUUGCUUUCUUGUCAAGUUUGUCACGCUUAACUUGUGGAACAUAAGCAAAAAAAACACAACCAAACACUUUAAGAAAGGUUAGUGAAGGCUUAAACCCAUACCAAGCCUCAAAUGGAGUUUUAUCAUUCAAAGCCUUGGUUGGAAGCUGAUUUUGCAUGAAAAUAGCCAUAUUAGCCGCCUCUGCCCAAAAUGUUUCAGGUAGCUCCAUCUCAUGCAACAUGGACCUAGCCAUCUUCAUCACAGUUCUAUUUCUCCUUUCACUAACUCUAUUUUGCUCUGGAGUGUAUGGAGCUGUGAGUUUAUGUUCAAUGCCAGCUUCUUCAUAGAAUUGAUUAAACUUUGAUGAAGUAUACUCAUUCCCAUUGUCUGAUCUUAGAAAUUGAAUCUUGCAGCCACUUUGGUUUUCUACCAUGUUCUUGAACUUCAUAAAUACUCCAGCCACUUCAUGCUUGAAUUUUAAGAAAAAANNNNNNNNNNNNNNNNNNNNNNNNNNNNNNNNNNNNNNNNNNNNNNNNNNNNNNNNNNNNNNNNNNNNNNNNNNNNNNNNNNNNNNNNNNNNNNNNNNNNNNNNNNNNNNNNNNNNNNNNNNNNNNNNNNNNNNNNNNNNNNNNNNNNNNNNNNNNNNNNNNNNNNNNNNNNNNNNNNNNNNNNNNNNNNNNNNNNNNNNNNNNNNNNNNNNNNNNNNNNNNNNNNNNNNNNNNNNNNNNNNNNNNNNNNNNNNNNNNNNNNNNNNNNNNNNNNNNNNNNNNNNNNNNNNNNNNNNNNNNNNNNNNNNNNNNNNNNNNNNNNNNNNNNNNNNNNNNNNNNNNNNNNNNNNNNNNNNNNNNNNNNNNNNNNNNNNNNNNNNNNNNNNNNNNNNNNNNNNNNNNNNNNNNNNNNNNNNNNNNNNNNNNNNNNNNNNNNNNNNNNNNNNNNNNNNNNNNNNNNNNNNNNNNNNNNNNNNNNNNNNNNNNNNNNNNNNNNNNNNNNNNNNNNNNNNNNNNNNNNNNNNNNNNNNNNNNNNNNNNNNNNNNNNNNNNNNNNNNNNNNNNNNNNNNNNNNNNNNNNNNNNNNNNNNNNNNNNNNNNNNNNNNNNNNNNNNNNNNNNNNNNNNNNNNNNNNNNNNNNNNNNNNNNNNNNNNNNNNNNNNNNNNNNNNNNNNNNNNNNNNNNNNNNNNNNNNNNNNNNNNNNNNNNNNNNNNNNNNNNNNNNNNNNNNNNNNNNNNNNNNNNNNNNNNNNNNNNNNNNNNNNNNNNNNNNNNNNNNNNNNNNNNNNNNNNNNNNNNNNNNNNNNNNNNNNNNNNNNNNNNNNNNNNNNNNNNNNNNNNNNNNNNNNNNNNNNNNNNNNNNNNNNNNNNNNNNNNNNNNNNNNNNNNNNNNNNNNNNNNNNNNNNNNNNNNNNNNNNNNNNNNNNNNNNNNNNNNNNNNNNNNNNNNNNNNNNNNNNNNNNNNNNNNNNNNNNNNNNNNNNNNNNNNNNNNNNNNNNNNNNNNNNNNNNNNNNNNNNNNNNNNNNNNNNNNNNNNNNNNNNNNNNNNNNNNNNNNNNNNNNNNNNNNNNNNNNNNNNNNNNNNNNNNNNNNNNNNNNNNNNNNNNNNNNNNNNNNNNNNNNNNNNNNNNNNNNAACAAAGUAGAGACUACCUUUCAGUGAUGGUGUUCUUUGAGGUCAUGCAACAUCAGUAUGAAUUAGUUGCAACUUUUGAGAGGCUCUCCAAGAUGAUUUUGAGAAUAACUUUCUGAUUUGUUUACCAAAUUGACAAGCAUUACGAUUUGGUAAAUUAUCAAAACAUUAUGGUAAGCCUUUUGCCAAGUCCCUUUUUUUCAUAUCUAGCAUUCUUUCAAGAUGGCAAUGACCCAGUCUUUUGUGCCAGAGUUCUAUGGGAUUGACUUUAGUGUAAUAGGUUGCAUGCACCUCCUCUGUUGGAUCAAAUGAGAAGCUUUUACCUCUCAUUUUAACCCUUAGAACUUCCCGGCCAGCACUGUCAUAAAUAAGGCAGUGUUGAUGUUCAAAGGACAAUUUAAAUCCAUUUUCACUCAAUUGACCUACACUUAGCAAAUUUUGAUCAAUGUCAGGUACAUAAAGAACAUCUGAUAUUAUUUUGGUACCUGAACAUGUUGAAAUUGCAAUGGUUCCUUUUGUAGAAAUAUAAUCACCAUUCCUAAUUAUGACCUUUGAGACAUUAGUUGGCUUCAAAUCCUUGAAUAAAGUCUUAUCAUUUGUCAUGUGGUUCAUACUACCGCUAUCAAUCAACCAACAUUCAAAACUACUCCUCAUCGAAUAACACGUUGCAACAAAAAUAUAAUCUUCUUCAUCUUGCUCCACAACUUGGGCAUUGGCUUCAGCUUGUUGAAAUUUGUUGUUACAAAUUACAGCUUCAUGUCCAAGUUGAUUGCACCUAGUGCACUUUGCAUCUGGUCUUCUCCAACACUUGAAUGGUGGGUGACCCAUUUUUCCGCAAUGCUGACAAGGUGAGUAAUUUUUCUUUUUACCCUUACCUUUGUUUUGGUUGUUUGCACUAUUUUCGCUGCUUGCUGGCUAGUUCUUCUUGACAUAUUUCUUUCUCCUUGUGAAUUCUGAUCUGGUUUAUAGUAGGAUCAUCUGAGAUCAUAACUUUCCCUGGUAAAGACAAGAAUGAUGGCUUGGAAAAAACUUAUGUCAGAAUCCAUCAGAAAUUAAAAUGCAUAGGUUCCUUAAGAAGAGGCUCUUGAUAUCAAUUGUUGGGGAGAUUCGAGGGAAACACCUAUGGACCAUGAGUCACCACAUAAGGAAGUCUGUCACCACACUCUAACCCAAAACCUUAAGAUUCAGGUUUAUGGGUAUUCUCCUCAAUUAUAUGGUGCUCAACUUUUCCACUUUUACCCAAUGUGAGACUUCACCUCACACUUGUACUCCAACACAUCUCCCCUUCAAGUGUGAGUCUCUUCCACAUGGUAGCCUUCCUCUGGAGCUCACGAGUAUAGCCAUUCUGACCACCUGCAGUACUUGCACUACCGCUACAUCUGCGGGGUACCCUGCGCCGCCAUCUUACUCCUCUGAGCCGGUCACGAGUAUAGCCAUUCUGGCCACCUAUGGUACUUACACCGCCACUGCAUGCUGCGCCGUGCCAUCUUACUUAUUUGAGUCGGUCACCAAGUCGAACCUUCAUCUCUGAUAUCAAUUGUUAGUUUUGUAGCAAAAAAAUAUAAUAAGCAAGGAAAAAGAGAAACAAUACAAGGUGGAGGAAAUAUAAUAAUUUUUGCUUAAUCAAAUUAUUCUGAGGAGCAAUACAAUAUAUAGGAAAACAAAUAUUAACCACUUAUUAAUUUCAGGAAAAUUGAAAAUUAAAAGUGACUUGCUCCUAAAGUUUAGGAAUAACUUUAAUCCAUAACUGAAAUGAAUAAAAAUAAAAUAUGUAGUUACAAAAGUAAUUUAAAGAAAUUUAACAAUAUGACUUGGCCUCAUCGGAUAGGUAAUAUCUAUAAACUUUCACCAAAACAUUAAAGCUUCUUAUUCUAUGAGGGUAAUGCCAAAUAUUCGUGAACCAAAUUAGCAAUCACACCUUAUAUGAUUUGAAAAAACAAAAAAAAAAAAUUACAGUUCCAGUCUAGUAUCUCUAUGAAAAUUGUCAAAAUAUAACUUUAACAAGGAAUAAAAAAAAAGAAAGGACAAAUAAGAUAAUGUUUGUUUUCUUCUUAAUCUUAAUAUUUUAUUUUUCUCCUCCUAUUCUUUACCUCAAUUUUGUAAGCUAUGUAAAACCUGUAUGAUUUAGAACACUAUAAAAACAAUGACAAAGGAAUAGGAAAUAGAGGGUCAUACGUAGCAGAUUAUGGUUUGUCUAAGAAGGGAAGUCCUGAUAUCAGUCAUCAUCUAUAAACUAUAAUGCAUCAAGCUUAUCAUUAACAAUUUGGUUCUUUUUAGAUAAAUUUCUUUAAAAACACUUACAGAAGAAAAAAAAAACAAAAUGCAUUAAGGUUUUUUACUUUUUAUAAAUUAAAGCCAACUUGCACACCUAAGAACAGUAAGAAGUAAUACAAAACAGAUAUAAUACAACUUUUAUUUAACCAGACUUCAAUCUAAACCAUUGAAUUUUUAAUCAAUAUAUCUACGAUGAAUUUUGAUGGUAGGUACUUCCCCCAGAUUCCACGAUCAAAAAGCAUCCAACCAAGAACAUUGUCUUCAAAAGAGGACAAGACACCUACUACCACUACACUUUUUAAAGUAGCCAGACUUCAAUCUAAACCAUUGAAUUUUUAAUUAAUAUAUUUAACGGUUAAUUUUGAUGGUAGGUACUAACGCAAAGCGAGUUAAAAGUGAAGAGAGUUGACUAGAAUCAAAUCUCAUCACACCAGUUAAGCUUGUCGAAAACCAACCCAGUUUAUUGCAACCAAUUCCUUUCCUUUGUUCUUGACAUCAUGGCUGAGGCAGUUGGUGGUGCAUUCCUCUCGGCUUUCCUUGAUGUUGUGUUCGACAAGCUGUCUACAGAUGAGGUUGUUGACUUCAUCCGUGGAAAGAAGCUUGACCUCAAUUUGCUUGAGAACUUGAAGAGCACUCUGAGAGUGGUUGGAGCUGUGCUUGAUGAUGCUGAGAAGAAACAAAUCAAACUCUCCAGUGUCAACCAGUGGCUCAUUGAGGUCAAAGAUGCUCUCUAUGAGGCCGAUGACUUGCUGGAUGAAAUUUCUACCAAAUCUGCAACUCAAAAGAAGGUAAGUAAAGUGCUUUCUCGCUUUACUGAUAGGAAAAUGGCCAGUAAGUUGGAAAAAAUAGUUGACAAAUUAGACACAGUUUUAGGAGGCAUGAAGGGUCUUCCUUUGCAAGUGAUGGCAGGGGAGAUGAGCGAGUCAUGGAAUACUCAGCCAACAACAUCUCUGGAAGAUGGAUAUGGUAUGUAUGGUAGGGAUACAGACAAGGAGGGCAUAAUGAAGAUGUUGUUGUCAGAUGAUAGCAGUGAUGGUGUACUAGUGUCUGUGAUCGCUAUUGUAGGCAUGGGUGGGGUUGGAAAAACCACUUUAGCCCGAUCUGUGUUCAACAAUGAGAAUUUGAAGCAGAUGUUUGAUUUAAAUGCAUGGGUUUGUGUUUCUGAUCAAUUUGAUAUUGUUAAGGUCACAAAAACUAUGAUAGAGCAAAUCACGCAAGAGUCAUGUAAAUUGAAUGAUCUAAACUUGCUUCAACUUGAAUUGAUGGACAAACUGAAAGUUAAAAAAUUCUUAAUUGUCUUGGAUGAUGUAUGGAUCGAGGAUUAUGAGAAUUGGAGUAAUCUUACAAAACCAUUUCUACAUGGAAAAAGGGGAAGUAAAAUUCUCUUGACAACCCGCAAUGCAAAUGUAGUGAAUGUAGUCCCUUAUCAUAUUGUUCAAGUUUAUUCUCUAAGUAAAUUGUCAGAUGAAGAUUGUUGGCUAGUGUUUGCAAACCAUGCAUUUCCCCCCUCAGAAUCAAGUGGGGAUGCUAGAAGAGCUUUAGAAGAAAUUGGAAGGGAGAUUGUUAAAAAGUGUAAUGGAUUGCCUUUAGCAGCACGGUCACUUGGAGGUAUGUUGAGAAGAAAGCAUGCUAUUAGGGAUUGGAAUAAUAUACUUGAAAGUGACAUUUGGGAACUUCCUGAAAGUCAGUGUAAAAUUAUUCCAGCCUUGAGAAUUAGUUAUCAAUAUCUCCCUCCACAUUUAAAACGAUGCUUUGUUUAUUGUUCAUUAUACCCUAAAGAUUUUGAAUUUCAAAAGAAUGACUUGAUCUUGUUGUGGAUGGCUGAAGAUCUUUUGAAGCUUCCAAACAGAGGAAAGGCGUUAGAAGUUGGUUACGAGUAUUUUGAUGAUUUAGUUUCUAGAUCAUUUUUUCAACGUUCAAGUAAUCAAACUUGGGGCAAUUAUUUUGUAAUGCAUGACCUCGUGCAUGAUCUAGCAUUAUACCUUGGUGGAGAAUUCUAUUUCAGAUCAGAAGAACUUGGAAAAGAAACCAAGAUUGGUAUAAAGACUCGUCAUUUGUCAGUUACAAAGUUCAGUGAUCCAAUCUCAGAUAUUGAAGUUUUUGACAGACUACAAUUUUUGAGAACUUUAUUGGCAAUUGAUUUUAAAGAUUCUUCAUUCAACAAGGAAAAGGCACCAGGUAUUGUAGCAUCGAAGCUUAAGUGCUUGAGAGUUUUAUCAUUUUGUGGCUUUGCAAGUCUGGAUGUUUUGCCUGAUUCAAUAGGUAAAUUGAUCCAUUUGCGUUAUUUAAAUCUCUCUUUUACAAGAAUAAGAACACUGCCGGAGUCAUUGUGUAAUUUGUACAAUCUACAAACUCUGGUGUUGUCUCAUUGCGAAAUGUUGACCAGGUUGCCUACUGACAUGCAAAAUCUUGUAAACUUGUGUCAUCUUCAUAUUUAUGGUACUCGUAUAGAAGAGAUGCCUAGAGGAAUGGGAAUGUUAAGUCAUUUGCAGCAAUUGGAUUUCUUUAUUGUGGGCAACCAUAAAGAGAACGGAAUCAAAGAACUGGGGACACUUUCAAAUCUUCAUGGUUCGCUUUCUAUUAGGAAUUUGGAGAAUGUAACCAGAAGCAAUGAAGCAUUGGAGGCUAGGAUGAUGGAUAAGAAGAACAUAAAUCAUUUAUCGUUGAAAUGGUCUAAUGGCACCGACUUCCAAACUGAAUUAGAUGUACUGUGCAAAUUAAAACCUCACCCAGACCUGGAAUCUCUAACAAUAUGGGGUUAUAAUGGAACCAUAUUUCCAGAUUGGGUGGGAAAUUUUUCCUACCACAACUUGACAAGUCUAAGAUUACAUGAUUGUAAUAACUGUUGUGUGCUUCCUUCGCUUGGGCAACUACCAUCUCUUAAGCAGCUCUAUAUUUCAAUAUUGAAGUCAGUGAAGACUGUUGAUGCAGGGUUUUACAAAAAUGAAGAUUGUCCUUCUGUGACUCCCUUUUCUUCCCUUGAAACGCUAUACAUUAAUAACAUGUGUUGCUGGGAGUUGUGGAGUACCCCUGAGUCAGACGCCUUUCCUCUACUCAAGUCUCUUACAAUAGAGGAUUGCCCCAAACUAAGGGGAGAUUUGCCAAAUCACCUUCCUGCUCUAGAAACACUCAAUAUUACAAGAUGCCAGCUUCUUGUCUCUUCCCUGCCAAGGGCUCCCAUCCUUAAGGGCUUAGAGAUAUGUAAAAGCAAUAAUGUAUCGUUGCAUGUGUUUCCUCUUUUGUUGGAAAGGAUAAAAGUAGAAGGAAGCCCAAUGGUGGAGUCCAUGAUCGAGGCCAUCUUCAGCAUUGAUCCAACUUGCCUCCAACAUUUAACAUUGAGUGAUUGUUCGUCAGCCAUAUCUUUUCCGUGUGGUCGUCUACCUGCAUCUCUGAAGGAUCUGCAUAUCAGCAAUCUUAAAAAUCUGGAAUUCCCGACCCAACACAAACACGAUUUACUGGAAUCACUGUCACUAUACAAUAGUUGUGAUUCUCUCACGUCUCUUCCAUUGGUUACCUUUCCAAAUCUCAAAAGUCUCGAAAUCCAUGACUGUGAACAUCUGGAAUCUCUUUUGGUUUCAGGGGCAGAGUCAUUCAAGAGUCUGUGUUCUUUGAGAAUUUGCCGAUGCCCCAACUUUGUAUCAUUCUGGAGAGAAGGAUUGCCUGCGCCCAAUUUGACUCGAAUUGAAGUUUUCAAUUGCGACAAGUUGAAGUCAUUACCUGACAAAAUGAGUAGUCUUCUCCCAAAGUUAGAAUAUCUUCACAUAAAAGACUGCCCAGAAAUUGAGUCGUUUCCAGAAGGGGGUAUGCCACCUAACCUGAGAACAGUUUCGAUUCACAAUUGUGAGAAACUACUGAGCGGCCUAGCAUGGCCAUCCAUGGGCAUGCUUACCCAUCUCCAUGUUCAGGGUCCAUGUGAUGGCAUCAAGUCCUUCCCUAAGGAGGGUUUGCUGCCUCCCUCCCUUACGUCUCUGUAUCUACAUAAGUUGUCAAAUCUGGAGAUGUUGGACUGCACGGGGCUUCUCCAUCUCACAUCCCUGCAAGAAUUAACCAUAAUCGGAUGUCCUUUGCUGGAGAAUAUGCUGGGAGAAAGGCUUCCUGUCUCUCUAAUAAAAUUAACCAUAGAGAGAUGUCCUUUGCUGGAAAAACAAUGCCGCAGGAAGCACCCUCAAAUAUCCCACAUCCGUCACAUUAAAGUUGACAAUAGAUGGAUUUAGUGACCAAGGAUGAGCACCGGGUAAUUCUCCUUCUUUGACCUACUUCAUCGUCUUCUAAGUCUAACCAAACAAAACUAUUUCAGUCAAGGAUAUCUUUCUUUUCAUGUCUUUUUAUUCUCACAGUUAAUUUAUUCAUUUCAUUCAACAAGCGUUAUUACCCUGAAGAAAUGUUAUCAAUCAAUGCCAUUGUAUUUGAACUUUCUCAAUAUAUCGGCAAUCAUGGUGGUUGUUUCAUCUUGUUACAUUCUCUGUCAGUGUUCAAAGUGUAAUUGGGUGUACUUUGUUUUUCAGAGAUGAUAGAUUGUCCUGUAGAAACUGCACCUGUAAUUGGAUAUGAAUUCAACUUUGACGUGACACCAGAAAGCUCAUAUUUAUGCGUGUAAAGCUGAUCUUCCAGGGCAAAAGGAGGAGGAAGCGAGGGCGCAGUCAGCUGAUGGCAAAGUGUUUAAGAUUGUUCCAUGGCACCAUCUGGAGCAUAGCACCAGCAACUCCCUGAGCAUACAGGCCUUAAGCCAUGACUUGACUGGUUUAGAUAGGUAAUAAUUACUGAAUUCAAGACACUAAAUUCUAUGAGGGUUCAUAUAAAAUUGACAAGGGUUUAGAUCUUGCUAGUAAUACCAAGGAUUCGUGAACCAACUUAACAAUCACACCAUGGAUGAUUUGAAAUAACAAUAUAAAUUGCAGUUCCUGUCUAACAUCUCUAGGAAAUUUUCCAGAACAUAAGUUCAACAAGGAAAACAAAGAAGAUAGAAAAAAUAAGACAAUGUUGUUUUCUUCUUAAUCUUAUAUUUUAUUGUUCCUCCCAUGCCUUGCAUCAAUUUUGUAACCUAUGUGAAACUUGGAUCAUUUAAAACACAAUAAUUACAAUGAACAAGGAAUAGAAACUAGAGGGUCUUGGGUAGGAGAUUGUGGUCUAUCUGAGAAGCAAAGUCCUGAUUUCAGUCUUUAACUAGAAUUCAUCAAGCUUAUCAUUCUCUAAGCUGAUUUAUUAGGCAAUUGUCUUUGUUCUUUCUCAUUCUUGUUUCUUAUUUUCCUCUAAAUUGGGCUCAGAGCUUUGUUCUUACUCAUUGUUUCUUAUUUUCCUUCAGAUCAUAUUUUCUAAAGUUGUUCAUGUCAUUGCAUGCAAUGUUUGCUUUCACCCAAAGGGGUGGCUUUGAUCAAAUUGACAAGGAUGAUUCCAACCUACCUCUGGAUACAGCUCCUAUUAAGCAUGUCACGCAGGUAUGCUGUCACAUAAUUGAAAAUUGUUAUCAUGGCUCUAACUACUUGUUAUAAAUUCUCUGUCACUACAAGUUUUCAUCCGAGUUGGGUUAUUAUCUUUUUUAUCUUUCAUCUUUUGUGAAUUUUCGUUUUUAGUUUCAUGAUUUUUUUGUCUUUUUUUAGUCCCAAAAAAAAUAUUGUUUUAUUUUUUGUUCUCAAUAUAUGUAGAAUUUUUUAGGGACUAAAAAUGAAACAAAAAAAUUGAGGGACUAUAAACGAAAAAAAAAAUUAUGGACUAAGACCCAUCAAAAGAUUAAGAAGGACUAAAAACAAUCGCAAAAGACGAAGCAAGUUAAAUAAAUCCUAUUGAUACUAUUUUACUAAUAUUGUGUUACAGGAAACUAUAAAUUUACAAUUUAUAUUAUAAUACAAAAAUAUUUAUCUUUAUUUAUAUUCUUUUGAAAAUAUUCAAAUUCAAUUUAAAAAUAAGUAUGAAAAUGAAAAAUUAAACAGAGAUAAAAGUUUUAUAAAAAAAUUUAAAAUAUCUUGUUGAAAAAAAACUAAAAAUACUUUAGUUGAAGAAUAUCUCUUAAAAAAAUAUUUUCCGAUACAGGAAACUCAUUUCAUUUCAGAUAAAACUAUAAAAUUUACUAUAAAAGAAGGCAACUAAUGUGUUUAUCCGUUACUCACAACACAACUAAAAUAUAGCUGUGGACUUAAGUUUUUCGAUUCGAAUCAUCCAAUUUUUCUCAUAAUCGCAGUCUUCUUCCUUGCAUGCAUGCAAUUUUUCCUUCCCUUGUUUUCUCUAGGACAAAAGUUAUCACAGUGCAUACGUGACAAUCUACCCUCAAAACUCUCCGCAUCAAUCAAACAGUCACAAGAAAAGGCCAUGAAACAUAUGAUGCUAAUGCCACAAAAUGGUGGCAGUCGUGGUGAUAUCCAUGUUGAGGAUAACCAAAACAUGUCCUUUCCGUCGUGGGAGGGAACCUUUAUGAGGUGCUUCAGUGAAAUAGAUGAAAAGCUUGCUAAGAACAUUGACACUGAUGGAUUUCGUGGCGGUAGCACUUCUGUAUCUGUAAUCAAACAGGUAUAACUAGACCUUCNNNNNNNNNNNNNNNNNNNNNNNNNNNNNNNNNNNNNNNNNNNNNNNNNNNNNNNNNNNNNNNNNNNNNNNNNNNNNNNNNNNNNNNNNNNNNNNNNNNNUUUCUUUUUUUUGUGAAUACUUUUGCAACAAUGUUAUAACCACAUCUUUUUCCCCCUUUAAAUUUCAGGGUGACCAAGUAAUAAUUGGCAAUGUGAGGGAUUCUCGUGCAGUUCUUUGCAGAAGAGCACCUGACAAUCGCCUUAUUCCUGUUCAACUUACUAUUGACUUGACUCCAGAUAUUCCAAGUAUGUUUUGGUAUUACCUAUUCUUAGUUUCCAAAUCUUACAACCCUUUUGAGUUUAUUUGGUUAAAUUGUCUAAUUAAGCCAUAUUCAUUAAGAACUUAUUAGAUGAGAGCUUCUUUCAGGACUUGUUUGGGUAAGUUUAUCCAAAACCACUUAUGCACAUACUAGUUUGUAAAAGCUCUCUCAUCUUUUAGAGAAACUAUACAAGAGAGUUUCUACAAUUUAGCUUAUGGAGAAACUCAUUUCAUUUCUUUUUCUUAUUUUAUUUCUCCUAAAAGUGCUUCCAGAUAAGUUUAUCCAAACAGACCCUAAAAGCUUGAUUGUAUAACUUAGUAAAUAAGCUAACCAAACUUAUUUUGAUAACCUUCUUUUUGAAAUUUAAUUGAAAUAAGCUAAAAAUAUUCUACUGAAUGGCCAUAUGCUACUUCUACAAGUCCAAAUAAGUUUUAUGAAAUUCUUCCUAAUGUCCCUUGGUCUGUGUCUAACUAGCUUUUCUUCCUCAAUGUUACUCAGGAGAAGCUAUGAGAAUUUUUGCUGUAGAAGAAGAUCCUACUGUAAACAGAGUAUGGAUGCCUAAAAGGGACUGCCUGGACUGGCUAUGGCAAGAGCCUUUAGAAAUUUUUGCCUAAAAGACUAUGGUGUCGCCUCAGUCCCUGAUGUGUCUUAAAGAAAACUUACCAAGGAGGAUAAGUGUGUGGUUUUGGCUUCUGAUGGGGUAAGCAUUUUCAUAUC
rnacentral:lncRNA from 1 species